rnacentral:tRNA from 1 species
GCUCCUAUCGUUUAAUGGUUUUAAGGACAAUGCUUUUUCAUAGUAUAAAUGUGGGUUCGAAUCCCACUGGGAGUA